GACAGAGGGUGCAAACGUUGCUCGGAAUUACUGGGCGUAAAGAGCUCGUAGGCGGUUUGUUGCGUCGGCUGUGAAAUCCCGAGGCUCAACCUCGGGUCUGCAGUCGAUACGAGCAAACUAGAGUGUUGCAGGGGAGACUGGAAUUCCUGGUGUAGCGGUGAAAUGCGCAGAUAUCAGGAGGAACACCGGUGGCGAAGGCGGGUCUCUGGGCAACAACUGACGCUGAGGAGCGAAAGCGUGGGGAGCGAACAGG
rnacentral:rRNA from 1 species